UUUCUGUCAAAAACACAAAGAUGUUGCGUUUACUACAAUGGAAAACUGGGAAAACUAGCAAAUAUUCACCUCUGAGAAGCUGCUACCAAGUAUAUAAUGGGGGUCAACAGGGGCCCCAAAAACAAACUUCACCCUGAGGCCCUAUAGGAGGUUAGUCCGGCCACGGUGAGAGCAGAAAGAAAAGAUUUGAAUACUUCUUCCACCAGAAUGAUACUCAGUAUCAGUGGAGAUCUUGAGUCGACUCGUCUUCAGGCUAUCACUCGAGCCACUAAUGCUGAGACUGAUACUAUUCCUGUAAUACACACACAGAGAAAGAAAGUUCAGCGUGCGCUCUGCCAGCUUGCAUGGCGUCAGGUGUUGAAGCUGUAAACAGCAGAGGAGGAAAAAUGUCUCAGUGCCGUUUAUCAGGAUGUCAAGACAAGGCAAUUAGGAAAACAUCAGGGACGCAGGUGCAGAGGUCACUUUAAUCUGCAGUUUACAGAGAAGAAGAAGCCUCUCUCUCUUUCUCUCUUUAACACUCUGCAUUCUCCUCUAUAGCAACACUUCUAACUAAAUCCCCUGUCACAUUGAUCCAAGAUUGAUUUUUCACACUCUGCUUGUUACAGAUAUAGAUUUAUUUUAUGCAUAAAACUAAA